CAGCUGCAAGUCAAAGGCCUCUUUAACGAGGGAAGCCUAGCGGGGAGGCGGCUGUCACACCCCUUCUCGUCAUGCAGUCAUCCCCACAGGUAGUGAGGAUCAUCGUUCCUGUCCAGACUGAAUGAGCACAGAAAGAGGAACGCUGUGAAGACGUUAAAGCUGCCACUAAGGACCUCUAAGACCUUGGGGAAAUUAACUUCCUUAAGCCUCACCGUCUUCAUCUGUCAAGAGAGAAUAUGACUGACACCCCCAUCAGGCAGGUUAUGUACCUCCACAUGCCUCAAUUUACUCAUUAAGAAAAUGGAGUUGAUGUGAGGAUUAAAUGAAAUAACAUUUGUGAAGAUGCCCACUCCAGCCCUCGGUACACAGUGGAAGGAUUCCGGCCAAUCUGGGAGGACCAGUCUCAGCCUGACUCGGGCAGGGCCUGCAACAGUUAAUCCCCGAAUCUCUUCUCUCAUCAAGUCUGGACCGCAGGGCCACUGGCAACUGUCCAGGUGGAGGAUAAAUGUCAGAGCUUUCCAGAAACUCCCUCAAGAGCCCAUCCCUUGCCAAGACUGAUCCAGAAAGAGAAGGAAACAAAUGAAUACACUGAGCAUGGUUGGUGAAGACGAAUAAACAAAACUGGGCAUUUAUCCCAUGGGUUCAUUCAUUCCACAGUCACGGAUGGAAGUCCCACUCUGAGCCAGGCACUGAAUGCCGCACGGAUGUGGCCAUGAAUCUAACACAGAUCUGGUCAUUAAAAACAGUCGAUCGGGGAAGGGGGAGCCACGGGAAGGCAAUUUGGGGAGGGGGCAGAGCUGCACAGGGCACUGUGUGAGUAGAGGGGGAGGGUCUCUAGCAUGGCCCGGGGAAGGAGGGAGAGCCAGGAAUCUGGAAGGGAAAUACCUACGUGCUUCUGGCAGGCACCGUCUUGGGGGAGAACACAGAAGCUAAUGAAUGGAGAAACAGCAGCCCCCAU